rnacentral:rRNA from 1 species
AAAACACAUCCAGCUGUAAAACGCCAAAGUCCAACUAAAACCCACAUCCUUAACCACCCAAACCUUUUUAACUCAUGAAAACCAGGACACAAACUAGGAUUAGAUACCCUACUAUGCCUGGACGUAACACGGCACCACCCCCGCCCGCCAAAUAACUACGAGUGAAAACUUAAAACUUAAAGGACUUGACGGUACUUCACACCCAACCUAGAGGAGCCUGUCUACUAACCGAUAAUCCACGAUUAACCCAACCACUUCUAGCCACCCAGCCUAUAUACCACCGUCGCCAGCCUACCUUGUAAAAGAAACAAAGUGAGCCAAACAGCACUACACUAACACGACAGGUCAAGGUGUAACUAAUGAAGCGGACUAAGAUGGGGCUACAUUCUCUACCCCAGAUUAUACGAACAAGGCUAUGAAACUAACCUUUAAAGGCGGA